GGACGGGCCCCGCACAAGCAGCGGAGCGUGUGGUUUAAUUCGAUGCUACACGAAGAACCUUACCAGGGUUUGACAUACAAGUAGUAGGGAAAGGAAACUGGACCGACCCUUCGGGGAGCUUGUACAGGUGCUGCAUGGCUGUCGUCAGCUCGUGUCGUGAGAUGUUCGGUUAAGUCCGCUAACGAGCGCAACCCUCGCUGUGUGUUACAAGUGUCACACGGAACUGCCGGUCAUAAACCGGAGGAAGGUGGGGAUGACGUCAAGUCAGCAUGGCCUUUAUGUCCAGGGCUACACACGUGUUACAAUGGCCGGCACAGAGGGCAGCUACCUGGUGACGGGAUGCUAAUCUCGAAAACCGGUCUCAGUUCGGAUCGAAGUCUGCAACUCGACUUCGUGAAGCUGGAUUCGCUAGUAAUCGCGCAUCAGCCAUGGCGCGGUGAAUACGUUCCCGGGCCUU
rnacentral:rRNA from 1 species